GAACAAACGAAGGGCAACAGGAGGAUGCCUUGGCGACACAUGGCGAAGAAGGACGUGACAAGCUGCGAUAAGCUUCGGGGAGCCGCAAGUAGGCUUUAAUCCGGAGAUUUCCGAAUGGGAAAACCCGUUUAAAUGAAAGUUUAAACACUCCUAACUGAAUCUAUAGGUUAGGUAGAGCAAUACCUGCUGAAGUGAAACAUCUCAGUAAGCAGAGGAAAAGAAAGCGAAUGCGAUUCCCUCAGUAGUGGCGAGCGAAAGGGGAACAGCCUAAACCGAGUUGAUUUAUCGGCUCGGGGUUCGGACUUCGAAGUGAGACGAUGAAGGAUAGAUGAAUUACCUGGAAAGGUAAGCGAUACAGGGUGAUAGUCCCGUAGUCGAAAUCCGUAAUUGCUCUAGGAGUAUCCAGAGUAGCACCGGACACGUGAAACCUGGUGUGAAAGAGUGCAGACCACUGCAUAAGGCUAAAUACAAGGUGUCGACCGAUAGUGAACAAGUACCGUGAGGGAAAGGUGAAAAGCACCCCUGUUAGGGGAGUUAAAAGUACCUGAAACCUGUUGCCUACAAGCGGUCAGAGCUUUUUUAUAAAGUGAUGGCGUACCUUUUGCAUAAUGGGCCUAGGAGUCUAUAUCAGUUGCGAGCUUAAGUGUUUACGACAUGGAGGCGAAGCGAAAGCGAGUUUGAAUAGGGCGAUAGUAUCUGGUAUAGCACCCGAAGCGGAGGCGAUCUAGCCAUGGCCAGGUUGAAGCAUCGGUAACACGAUGUGGAGGACCGAACCCAUUAACCUUGAGAAGUUAAGGGAUGAGCUGUGGUUAGGAGUGAAAGGCUAAUCAAGCCCCGUAAUAGCUGGUUCUCUCCGAAAUAUAUUUAGGUAUAGCGUUGUAUGUUUAUAGUUGGGGGUAAAGCACUGAAAAGGCUAGGGCUCACACCCGGGUACCGAACCUUAUCAAACUCUGAAUACCAGCUAAUAUAAUACAGCAGUCAGUCAGUGGGGGAUAAGCUUCAUUGGCGAGAGGGAAACACCCCAGACCAUCAAAUAAGGUCCCUAAGUUAAUGCUAAGUGGUACGAAGGAGGUAAAUUUUCUUAGACAAUGGGGAUGUUGGCUUAGAGGCAGCCAUCAUUUAAAAAGUGCGUAAUAGCUUACCCAUCGAGAGAGUUUGCGCCGAAAAUGAUCGGGACUAAAGUAUUACACCGAAUUUGUGGAUUGUUUUAACAAUGGUAGGAGAGCGUUCCAACGACGUUGAAGGUUGAGGGGAACCGAGGCUGGAGUUUUUGGAAGUGAGAAUCUAGGCAUGAGUAACGAAAAGUAUGGUUAAAAUCCAUACCGCCGUAAGGAUAAGGUUUCCUGGGGAAGGUUCGUCCGCCCAGGGUUAGUCGGGAGCUAAGGCGAGGCCGUAAGGAG
rnacentral:rRNA from 1 species